AUGGAGCACAGGGGACCUGUUUCAGGGGAAUUGGCUCGACGACGCAUGUAUGGGUAUGACUUGUACACGUGGGAGGACAAUGGGUACUACCUUGGGACAUGGACCAGGGGGUUCAAGGUUGGGAAGGGCACGUUCGACCCUAAACGCUGCAGGUUCCAGCUCUACAUUAAUGAUCCAAGGAACAAGGGUGUGCUACCCGAGAUCUCAAGAAAUGUCCUUCAACAGCACUCCUCUUCUUCCUUCGACACGAUCAAGAGCAUGAUGCUGCAGGUGCCAAGUUGUCCUGAAGAAACUUUAACUUUGAUCGAACUCCAACGAAGAAGUCGUUUUUGCAAAGGUCAGAGUGGCCAUCGAGAAGAUCAUCGGCAUUCAUGA
rnacentral:rRNA from 1 species